rnacentral:lncRNA from 1 species
UCUCUUUUGGAAUUCUCAGGGUGUCAUUCUUCCAACUUUACUGAUGAGGAAACCAAGCCCAGGGGGUAAGGGAUAAUAUGUCCAGAGAAAGUAAAGGAAACAGGAAAAGAAACAGGGAAGUAAAGGAAAGGGGAUUCAAACAGAGGCCUGCUGAGGAUCCUGUCAUGCCAUGCUGAAAGAUGACCCACUGGUGCCUUCACGUCUCAUCUCAUGUAUCAAUCUACACAAACUUACAGAGUGGACAACAGAAGAUGAGGAAACUAAAGUUUGGUGAGGCAAAGCAAGUUGCCCAAGAUCAACACCCAGGACAUGGGAGAGCAGGAUUGCAAUCUGGCCGGCUAGCCCUGGAGCCCACACUCCCGAAAACCACAGUUGGCUCUCUUGCUGCUAUCUCUGUUGGUCUUCCUGCUUCGUGUCCCUCCUUCAGGAGCCAAGUACCCAGAGAAUGGACCGCAUGGGGUUGUACCAGCGUUUACUAGGUGCUGUUCCAAUCUGCCUCCCUGCCCUGACUGGUGAACUCUCAGCUUCCUCCAUUCCCUGCCUCCUGGCAAGCAGAGGGGAAAGAUGAUCCCCGAUUGUAGAAAUCCAGGAGGCGUGGCAAGGUGGCUUUUUGGCGGGCUCGUAAAUUGCCAAGUGGAUUAUGGAGGAUAGAUAAGCCGGAAGACGCCAGGCACAGCUUGGAUGUAUUUCAUUUCUGAUCACACCGGAAUGGAGCAAGAAUUAUGGACAAAGUGCAUAGACCCAAGCAGCCAUGCUUGAUCAUUUACACCCCUCGCUGUCAUUUUUAAUCUGCGGUGUCUGUUCUCUCCAACCCCGAAAACACCAAACCCGGCCUCUUGAAGAACCUCUUCACUCGAGUCUUUCUCAAUAUGUCGAGCCUUUCUCAAUAUUUGGCAUGGUUCCCAUGGGAGCUUCCCCACACUGUGACCCUGCUGUGGGGACUAAACACGAGAAUGAGUCUGGUGGAGGGGGCACUUGACAUCUGGUUUGUAAAUUAACAUCAACCACAUGUGCAUGUGCCCAUAUCCACACUCCUUUCUCCAAAGCCCCAUCACAUUUUAGAGAUAAAAAUGAGUUGGGAGCAUAAGCUUUUGGGUCAUGUGGAAUUGAACUGGAAUAUUAAUCCCAACACUUACAAAUGGUGGGAGUUUGGAGGGGACAUUUAAUCUCUUUCAGCCUCAGUAUCCUUAUUUGUAAAUGGGCUAAUGACAUCUACCUUAUGGAGUUGUUGGACAUGUGGGGUUGUGUCCAUGAUGAGAACAUGCAUCUGACACUUGGUAGAGUUCAUGGUACCUAGUUAAGACUUUAAGCAUGACAGUUAUUAUCAUGGUUAUUGUCCAGACACAAGAUGAUGGACCUGCUCCCUGAGGCCAACUGAGAUGCGUCCAGGCUUAGAUUCACAGAGUCCAUGACUGGACACAGGUUGGAUGGAUGGAUGGAUGGAUGGAUGGAUGGAUGGACAAGUGGAUGGUUAGUUUU